GACGGAAGGUGCAAGCGUUGCUCGGAAUCACUGGGCGUAAAGGGUGCGUAGGCGGCCGUGCAAGUCUGGCGUGAAAGCCCCGGGCUCAGCCCGGGAAGUGCGCUCGAAACUGCGCGGCUCGAGUGCCGGAGGGGAGAGUGGAAUUCCUGGUGUAGCGGUGAAAUGCGUAGAUAUCAGGAGGAACACCAGUGGCGAAGGCGGCUUUCUGGACGGUAACUGACGCUGAGACGCGAAAGCGUGGGGAGCAAACAGG
rnacentral:rRNA from 1 species